CCUACGGGUGGCUGCAGUGGGGAAUAUUGCACAAUGGGCGCAAGCCUGAUGCAGCCAUGCCGCGUGUGUGAAGAAGGCCUUCGGGUUGUAAAGCACUUUCAGCGGGGAGGAAGGCGGUGAGGUUAAUAACCUCAUCGAUUGACGUUACCCGCAGAAGAAGCACCGGCUAACUCCGUGCCAGCAGCCGCGGUAAUACGGAGGGUGCAAGCGUUAAUCGGAAUUACUGGGCGUAAAGCGCACGCAGGCGGUCUGUCAAGUCGGAUGUGAAAUCCCCGGGCUCAACCUGGGAACUGCAUUCGAAACUGGCAGGCUAGAGUCUUGUAGAGGGGGGUAGAAUUCCAGGUGUAGCGGUGAAAUGCGUAGAGAUCUAGAGGAAUACCGGUGGCGAAGGCGGCCCCCUGGACAAAGACUGACGCUCAGGUGCGAAAGCGUGGGGAGCAAACAGGAUUAGAUACCCGAGUAGUC
rnacentral:rRNA from 1 species